GAAAACCAUAGCUUUAACUAUACGGACCUUUGUUGGCAAGGUGAUGGUCUGUAUAGUUAAAGCUAUGGUUUUC